UUCCGGUUGAUCCUGCCGGACCUGACUGCUAUCGGAUUGAUACUAAGCCAUGCGAGUCAUUGUAGCAAUACAAGGCAGACGGCUCAGUAACGCGUAGUCAACCUAACCUAUGGACGGGAAUAACCUCGGGAAACUGAGAAUAAUGCCCGAUAGAACACUAUACCUGGAAUGGUUUGUGUUCCAAAUGAUUUAUCGCCGUAGGAUGGGACUGCGGCCUAUCAGUUUGUUGGUGAGGUAAUGGCCCACCAAGACUAUUACAGGUACGGGCUCUGAGAGGAGUAGCCCGGAGAUGGGUACUGAGACACGGACCCAGGCCCUAUGGGGCGCAGCAGGCGAGAAAACUUUGCAAUGUGCGAAAGCACGACAAGGUUAAUCCGAGUGAUUUGUGCUAAACGAAUCUUUUGUUAGUCCUAGAAACACUAACGAAUAAGGGGUGGGCAAGUUCUGGUGUCAGCCGCCGCGGUAAAACCAGCACCUCAAGUGGUCAGGAUGAUUAUUGGGUCUAAAGCAUCCGUAGCCGGCUCUGUAAGUUUUCGGUUAAAUCUGUACGCUCAACGUACAGGCUGCCGGGAAUACUGCAGAGCUAGGGAGUGGGAGAGGUAGACGGUACUCGGUAGGAAGGGGUAAAAUCCUUUGAUCUAUUGAUGACCACCUGCGGCGAAGGCGGUCUACCAGAACACGUCCGACGGUGAGGGAUGAAAGCUGGGGGAGCAAACCGGAUUAGAUACCCGGGUAGUCCCAGCUGUAAACUAUGCAAACUCAGUGAUGCAUUGACUUGUGGUCAAUGCAGUGCUGCAGGGAAGCCGUUAAGUUUGCCGCCUGGGAGUACGUACGCAAGUAUGAAACUUAAAGGAAUUGCGGGGAGCACCACAAGGGUGAAGCCUGCGUUCAUUGGAGUCAACGCCGG
rnacentral:rRNA from 1 species